GCCAUGGCUCAGUGUUGGAGAAUUUGAUUUGCAUGCAGAAGGUCCCAGGUUCAAUACCUGGCAUCUGAAGGUGAGGCU